rfam:Tumebacillus sp. AR23208, complete genome.
UCAAGUGGUGAUGUCGUAGAGGUCACACCUGUUCCCAUUCCGAACACAGAAGUUAAGCUCUACAGAGCCGAUGGUACUUGGACCGCAGGGUCCUGGGAGAGUAGGACGCCGCUUGGC